rnacentral:rRNA from 1 species
GUGCACGCUGGCGGUAGGCCUAACCCAUGCAAGUCGAACGGCAGCACAGUAAGAGCUUGCUCUUACGGGUGGCGAGUGGCAGACGGGUGAGGAAUACAUCGGAAUCUACUUUUUCGUGGGGGAUAACGUAGGGAAACUUACGCUAAUACCGCAUACGACCUACGGGUGAAAGCAGGGGAUCUUCGGACCUUGCGCGAUUGAAUGAGCCGAUGUCGGAUUAGCUAGUUGGCGGGGUAAAGGCCCACCAAGGCGACGAUCCGUAGCUGGUCUGAGAGGAUGAUCAGCCACACUGGAACUGAGACACGGUCCAGACUCCUACGGGAGGCAGCAGUGGGGAAUAUUGGACAAUGGGCGCAAGCCUGAUCCAGCCAUACCGCGUGGGUGAAGAAGGCCUUCGGGUUGUAAAGCCCUUUUGUUGGGAAAGAAAAGCAGCAGGUUAAUACCCCGCUGUUCUGACGGUACCCAAAGAAUAAGCACCGGCUAACUUCGUG